rnacentral:rRNA from 1 species
GACGAACGCUGGCGGCGUGCUUAACACAUGCAAGUCGAGCGGUAAGGCCCUUUCGGGGGUACACGAGCGGCGAACGGGUGAGUAACACGUGGGUGACCUGCCUUUAGCUCUGGGAUAAGCCUGGGAAACUGGGUCUAAUACCGGAUACGACUCCGCGGUGCAUGCUGUGGGGUGGAAAGCCUUGUGCGGCUGGAGAUGGGCCCGCGGCCUAUCAGCUUGUUGGUGGGGUGAUGGCCUACCAAGGCGACGACGGGUAGCCGGCCUGAGAGGGCGACCGGCCACACUGGGACUGAGACACGGCCCAGACUCCUACGGGAGGCAGCAGUGGGGAAUCUUGCGCAAUGGGCGAAAGCCUGACGCAGCGACGCCGCGUGAGGGAUGACGGCC